rnacentral:rRNA from 1 species
CGCAAGGUGAGUGGCAGACGGGUGAGUAACACGUGGGAACCUUCCCUUUGGUUCAGGAUAGCCCCGGGAAACUGGGAUUAAUACUGGAUAAGAUCUACGGAUGAAAGAUUUAUCGCCGAAGGAUGGGCCCGCGCAAGAUUAGCUAGUUGGUGAGGUAAUGGCUCACCAAGGCUAUGAUCUUUAGCUGGUCUGAGAGGAUGAUCAGCCACACUGGAACUGAGACACGGUCCAGACUCCUACGGGAGGCAGCAGUGAGGAAUAUUGGACAAUGGGCGCAAGCCUGAUCCAGCCAUGCCGCGUGAGUGAUGAAGGCCUUAGGGUUGUAAAACUCUUUUAGUGGGGAAGAUAAUGACGGUACCCACAGAAAAAGCUCCGGCUAACUUCGUGCCAGCAGCCGCGGUAAUACGAAGGGAGCUAGCGUUACUCGGAAUUACUGGGCGUAAAGCGCAUGUAGGCGGAACUACAAGUCAGGGGUGAAAUCCCGGGGCUCAACCCCGGAAUUGCCUUUGAAACUGUAGUUCUUGAGUAUGACAGAGGAUGGUGGAAUUUCCAGUGUAGAGGUGAAAUUCGUAGAUAUUGGAAAGAACACCGGUGGCGAAGGCGACCAUCUGGGUCAUUACUGACGCUGAGAUGCGAAAGCGUGGGGAGCGAACGGGAUUAGAUACCCCGGUAGUCCACGCCGUAAACGAUGAGUGCUAGUCGUUGGGGGUUUCCUCAGUGACACAGUUAACACGUUAAGCACUCCGCCUGGGGAGUACGGUCGCAAGAUUAAAACUCAAAGG